CUACGGGACGCUCCAGUGAGGAAUAUUGCACAAUGGGGGGAACCCUGAUGCAGCAACGCCGCGUUGAGGAUGACGCAUUUCGGUGUGUAAACUCCUUUUAUAUGUCAAGAAAAUGACGGUAGCAUAUGAAUAAGCACCGGCUAACUCCGUGCCAGCAGCCGCGGUAAUACGGAGGGUGCAAGCGUUACUCGGAAUCACUGGGCGUAAAGGACGCGUAGGCGGGUUGGAAAGUCGGGUGUGAAAUCCUACAGCUUAACUGUAGAACUGCACUUGAAACUUCUAAUCUAGAGUAUGGGAGGGGGAGAUGGAAUUAGUGGUGUAGGGGUAAAAUCCGUAGAUAUCACUAGGAAUACCUAAAGCGAAGGCGAUCUCCUGGAACAUUACUGACGCUAAGGCGUGAAAGCGUGGGGAGCAAACAGGAUUAGAUACCCUCGUAGUC
rnacentral:rRNA from 1 species